CUUGGCGGUCAUUCGUUAUAUGGAUAACUGUGGUAAUUCUAGAGCUAAUACAUGCGUUAACUGCGGACUUCUCGGAACGGUGGUAUUUAUUAGAUACAGAAUCAACUCACCUCUGGUGAUUUUGGAUGAUUCAUGAUAAAUGAACGGAGCGUAUAGCUUGGGCUGUCGCUGUGUCAUUCAAGUUUCUGACCUAUCAGCUAUCGACGGUAGGGUAUUGGCCUACCGUGGCAUUGACGGGUAACGGAGAAUUAGGGUUCGAUUCCGGAGAGGGAGACCGAGAAACGACUACCACAUCUAAGGAAGACAGCAGGCGCGUAAAUUACCCAAUCACAACACGGGGAGGUAGUGACAAUAUGUAACAAUAUACGGCCUUAUACGUCGUAUAAUCGGAAUGAGUACAAUUUAAAUCCCUUACCGAGGAACAAUUGGAGGA
rnacentral:rRNA from 1 species